rnacentral:rRNA from 1 species
UCCAGACUCCUACGGGAGGCAGCAGUGGGGGAUAUUGCACAAUGGGGGAAACCCUGAUGCAGCGACGCCGCGUGUGGGAAGACGGUCCUCUGGAUUGUAAACCACUGUCCCCAGGGACGAAGAUGACGGUACCUGGGGAGGAAGCUCCGGCUAACUACGUGCCAGUAGCCGCGGUAAUACGUAGGGAGCGAGCGUUGUCCGGAUUUACUGGGUGUAAAGGGAGCGUAGACGGCCAGACAAGUCUGAAGUGAAAAUCCAGCGCUUAACGUUGGAAGUGCUUUGGAAACUGCCGGGCUGGAGUGCAGGAGGGGCAGGCGGAAUUCCUAGUGUAGCGGUGAAAUGCGUAGAUAUUAGGAGGAACACCAGUGGCGAAGGCGGCCUGCUGGACUGCAACUGACGUUGAGGCUCGAAGGCGUGGGGAGCAAACAGGAUUAGAUACCCCCGUAGUU